rnacentral:rRNA from 1 species
UGGCGAACGGGUGAGUAACACGUGAGUAACCUGCCCUUGACUUUGGGAUAACUUCAGGAAACUGGGGCUAAUACCGGAUAGGAGCUCCUGCUGCAUGGUGGGGGUUGGAAAGUUUCGGCGGUUGGGGAUGGACUCGCGGCUUAUCAGCUUGUUGGUGGGGUAGUGGCUUACCAAGGCUUUGACGGGUAGCCGGCCUGAGAGGGUGACCGGCCACAUUGGGACUGAGAUCGGCCCAGACUCCUACGGGAGGCAGCAGCGGGG